GCUGGGGGGCGGCCGGUGGAGGGGAGAGCACGGGAGAGGCCGUCGGGGCCGAGUCCCCUCCGCCGGGACCCCGCGGGCCAGCAGCGCCCAUCCCCGUGCCGCGGGCCCGCCGCCCGCCGCCCCUACCUGCGCCGGGGCCGCGCCGCCAGCGCCGCACGGACAAAGGCGGCGCCGGGAGCCGCCGGCAGCGUCAGCCCGGGAGGGCCGCCCGCCGCCGGUGCAGCACGGGAGGUGUAGUCCUGCCGCUCCGCCCCGCUCGGCUCGGGGGGGCGGGCACCGGGAGCACCGCUGUGUCCUUGCGGCCCCUGGCCCUGCCCGCCACCCCUGGCCACUCGGGUCCUCUGCAAAUGGAGUCCUGGGCUCGGGGGCACCGAGACACGGCGGGACAUGCCGCCUGGUGGCGACAGGCCGGGUGGCUGUUGGCAAACAUUCCUUUGCCUUGUCUACUCGGAGGGGUCCCAUCUCCCCUUCCCAGGUCAGAGUCAUCACUGUGUCCCAUCAUCGUGAAAGCCACAACCCUGGUGGCAGCACCAGCCAAAAAGCCAAGUGUUGACUCACAUCAUGUGUCUGCUCUGUAGGUAAUUAGAGUCUGGCGGCUGGAAGAUCUCGCACUGUAGAAAGUUUCUACUUUCUGUAGAAAGGUAGUAGCCCCUCCCUAGGUAGGUAGAACCGUGAGGUAAGCAGACGGAAGUGACGUUGUAAACUCAAGGUAUAUAAUGCUGUGUUACCUAGCAAUAAAUGCCAUUUGCCGUCCGCCACAUUGGUGUCUGCGAGCUGAUGGACCGAGCGACCUGGGGUUGGUCGCCGUGCUGUUCCUGAACCAGGUCGCCAUUGCCCCCCCUUAGAGGCAACACGUGGUGCCGAAACCCGGGAAGAAUCGCCUGGACUCAGGUGAACAGCGGCCGCAGCGGCAGGACCGGCCCGGCGGGGGGGACGCCCCCAGAGCCGCGAGGAGGAUGGAAGCCCUCGUGAAGGUCGUAUCUCAGUUACAUAAACAAUGGGGUAUUGAUUGUAAGGCUAAAGAUUUUACUCUCGCAGUUGCGAGGCUUUUACAGAUUGGGGUUAUUGAACAACCGGUGGAAAUUCUUCACCCGGAGGUGUGGGACAAGUGCACUAAAGCGCUUGCUGAGGAAACGAUGUCCUCGGGUAGUGGGAAAAACCUGAAGUCGUGGGGGAAAGUUGUAGAGGCUCUGCAGAAGGCUAGACGAGCGCAGGAAACCUGGAAGGCUGCACAGGCUUGUUUGUUGGCCUCCCCACAACUGGGGGUCGGGGCGGCUACGCAGACUAUGCACCCCCCAGAAAGUGACGGUCCCGCAGAGCCUAAAGGUCUGCGAGAGGGCGACCCCCCCGGGGCAGCCACGCAGACCCUGCACUCUCCACAGAAGGACGAUCCUGCUGAGCCCAGAGAUCAGCGAGAGGGCGAAAACGAGGCACAGGAGCGAGCUAAAUCUUUUUGGGGUGGUUUAGUCGAGGAAGCCAGGCGUGCUGCUGAGAAAUCAGAGUCUGAGGGAGUCGGGACGAGACCCCUGCCGUAUGCGCCCCAAGAUGGCGUCCAGCGCGCAGGGGAGGAACGGGACGAGGGUGUCCUUGGGGGGCACGGGGAGCCAGUGCUGGUAGCGAAUGUGGAGAAUGACCGUGCAGGUGCGAUCGAACGCGUGGAAGUGAACACUAGAGGACUGAACUUUGGGGGCGGCGGAGGCGCGGACAAGGGGCAGAGAGCCAAUCGGGGCGUCUAUGUGGAGCGGUGCCACUGGGGGGUGGACGCCUCCCCGAGCAGAAGGCGGGGCGAGCCAAGAGGGAGGGAACAGCCCGCCCACAAGGGUGGUGGGUGGAACUGAAGCAGAGAGCAGCCCACCCACAAGGGUUCCGACUCCGAUUCAGAUACCGAUUCAUAUUCGGAAGAGGAAAUGGGGACAAAGAGAAUUAAAAGCAAAAAUAUCCCCUUCCGAAAUAAAGCGGAACCGCGAGGGGGAAAAAUUCCUCUUACGGAUUGGAGGAAGAUUAAGGGGUCCAGCAUCGCAGACAUAAUCAAACAUGUCGUGAGAGAAGAGCACCUAGCCCUGAUCCAGGCAGCUGUUUGCACCGCAAUAGCUAACAUGAUGGUAUGUUUUAAAUGUGGCCAGGCAGGCCACAUCACAGCAAAUUGCCCUCAGCUGGGGGAUCCAUCAACAGCGCUCCCCCAACACCAGAACUGACCCAAAGGACCGUGCUGGGCCUGUGGAAAGAGAGGGCACUUUGCCAGGGAAUGCAGAUCUAAGACCCAGGGAAAAGGGAGGGGGAGAGGGCAACCGGGCUGUGCACAGCCCUCUCCCACCUGGGAUAUGAGGCGGCCCAAUUAUGCCAACCCCACAUGGAGCGCGGCACUCCCGAACUCGGUGCUUCCAAACCCGGUGCCUCAAAAACCAGUUCCCUCAAACCCACUGCCUCCUCAACAGGUGACCAACUUUGCAGCACAACCAGUUGUCCAGCCAAACCUGCCUUCAUCUCAGGGACAGCAAGCACCACCCCCUGGGGGCGAGACCCCAGGGUGGCUCUGGCUGUAAAGUGUGAUAGCUCGCCAGUGGUGUGGGGGUUCUGCUCCCUUUAUAAUACCCCAAAUAGCACCACCAUUAGCGUCCCCUUCUUGAUCGAUACCGGAGCAGACGUUACAGUUAUCCCUGAGAUGAACUGGCCUCCGUGUUGGGAACUGGAAGAUGCUCCUAUGGUGGGCGGAGUUGGGGGACUAACCCAAGCUCGGAAGAGUGUUCAAUUGGUUGCAAUCACACUUCACACAGAAAAGGGAUAGGAAAAAAACAUUACUCUCUUCCCGUAUGUCGUGCCAGGAGUCCCACCCCUGUUGGGAAGGGACGCUUUAGCCUUGUUGAAAGCCAGGGUGACAAAUUUACCGUGAGGGCCACUGCCGCAUACCCGCUUCCACCGAUCAAACUGACGUGAAAAUCAUCCAACCCAGCGUGGGUCGAGCAGUGGCCCCUGUCAAAGCCUCGAAUGGAUGCUCUUCUCGAGUUAGUCGACCGCGAACUGCAGCGGGGUCACAUAGAGCCUUCUACCAGCCCCUGGAACACUCCUGUCUUUGUAAUACCCAAGCAAACCGGUGAAGGGUUUCGUCUCCUCCAUGAUCUACGUGAAGUAAACAAAACAAUUCAACCAACGGGUCCUGUUCAAACGCUGUUGCCCAUGAACUCUAUGAUACCAAAGGGACAACCUUGCACCAUCCUUGAUAUUAAAGACUAUUUUUUUCUCAAUACCUUUGCAUGAAGAAGACAGGAGCGGUUUGCUUUCUCUAUCGUGUUUCCAAACAGCCAACGUCCUAACCUACGCUUCCAGUGGAAAGUGCUGCCUCAAGGAACGAUCAACUCGCCUACCAUCUGCCAGAUCACGGUGGAUCUGGCGCUGGCACCGGUUCGGCGCAGUGACCCGACCGUGACAAUCAUUCAAUACAUGGACGGCAUCCUGAUCGCCGCGCCGUCAGGGAGUCAGGUGGACCAGCUGGUAUCAACAGUCUCAGAAACCCUAAAAACUAGCAGGUUCGAAAUCGCGAGUGCAAAAAUUAAAAAGGGACCAUGUGUAAGCUUUUUGGGAGUGGGGAUCACAAGUUCUUACAUAACCCCUCCCCAGAUAAAAAUCCGUCGGGGUGCCAACACGCUUCAUGAUGUGCAACAAUUAGUGGGAUCCUUACAAUGGCUCCGUAACAUUGUCCUGAUUCCUCCCGAGACCAUGGUUCCCCUGCAUGAUCUUUUAAAAGGAAAAAACCUGUGGGAGCAGAAGACCCUGACAACAGAAGCAAUGGACUCUCUCGAUUUUAUCGAGCAUCAAAUAUCAUCAAGCACGCUUGCCAGGUGGAACCCACACGAACCACUAGAUCUGUAUGUAUACUUCACAGAAGGAGGGGGAGUAGGGGCACUAGCCCAGGGCCCCCAUGAAAAAGCUCGACCAAUACAGUGGAUAGUCCUGGGAAAACCGUCACACUCAUUCUCUCCAGGAGUCGAGUGCCUUGGCAACCUCAUCAUGAAAGGCCGAAAACUUGCCCUAAGGCACCUAGGUAUCGAACCUGCCAGGAUAUAUUUACCCUUGCGCAAACAGUUGUUAACGCAAUCAGUGGCGAUGUCGGCAUCUCUGGCCGUGGCCCUUGCCAGAUUUCGCGGAGAAGUCCAUCACGCUAUCAAGCCCCCUUGGGCUCAAAUGCUGAAAAUUGCCAACAUCGACCUUCCACAGAAGAUCAUGGACUGACCCCAGCAGGGACCAACGGUCUUCACAGAUGCAUCUUCAGUGACCUCAACCGCAGCAGUGGUAUGGCAAUCGGGAGAAGAAUGGCACCGCAUUAAAAUGACCGACAGUACGCUUUCAGUCCAGCUAUUAGAAGCGACGGCCGUGGUACUGGCGUGUGGACUGUUCCCAAUGGAGCAUCUCAACAUAGUGACCGAUUCGAUGUUUGUAGCCAAACUUUGCUUGGCCAUGUCAGGGCCUGGCGUGUCAACAUCCACAGCUGCUCUAAUGCUAGAAGAAGAUCUUUCCUCCCGAAAAGGAACCAUAUCGGUCAUCCAUGUCAACAGCCAUGACCCAAUCAAAGGGUUUUACCAAAUCAGUAAUGAUAAAGCAAACGCCGCUGCAAAAGGGUUAUGGACACUAAGAGAUGCCUGUCAGCUACACGAGUCCCUCCACAUUGGAACUAAGGCUCUAGCAAAGAGAUGUGGGAUUUCGACCGCUGACGCAAAACACAUAGUAGCUACGUGUCCCCACUGUCAAAAAGCACCACUGUGGUCCAGUGGAGUCAACCCCAGAGGUCUCAAAGCCUCCGAGGUGUGGCAGUCGGACUUUACGCUCUGUCAGUUGCUGAGACCUCGAGUGUGGCUAGCAGUAACCGUGGACACAUAUAGCGGGAUGAUUGUAACUACACAGCACCUUAAGGCCAACUCCAAAGCAACCAUCCAACAGUGUUUGACAGCCAUGGCGUGGCUUGGUGUCCCUAAUCAGAUCGAAACAGACAAUGGUUUACAUUUUGUGUCCAAAUCAGUCCAGGCAUUCGUUCAGAAAUGGGGUAUUACUCUAAUACACGGUAUCCCGUGUAAUAGUACAGGACAUGCGAUGGUCGAAUGACCGCGUUCUUCCCAGAUUUUCCCAAAGGUGUGCACUACUCCAACUGCAUAUCUAGAAUCGUUACAGAUGGUACCAUUUCCUUUUAACAUUCACAGUGCCUGAUGGAGAGCAUACAGCUCGCAUGUCUAAGCUGACCCGUUAUUAGGCAACCUUCCCAUUUCCCUUCUCACCACCUUCAGUGGUGGCACACCCAUUGUGUCUUUUCCCUGAAGUACCCUUGAAGACCCAUCUAUGAAGAGGUGCAGCCCAUUGUCAGCUCUCCUUAGGAAAGCAGCAGGGUUUAAUUUCCUCCCACAAAUAGGAGUUUAUUCAUAAUUCUCUCUCCUUUCCCCUGCUACCCCAUUUGUUACAAGUGUGUCUUCGGUCUAAGAUCUUUUUAGGGAGAAAUUUAAAACGGAUAGGGUAGCUUCCAUUUUUAGUAAAAACUCGACGUCACGACCUCCUACUUUACCACUUACAUACCCUUUUACAAUUUAAAUACAUUUCCCACUUAAAAAAAAACACCACCACCACCAAAAAUAUUUUCAGCCCCUCUAAUUCUCCAAAGUGUAUUGAGUUUUCUUCCUUUAGUCACUUUUAACAGUUGCUGUUCUAGGGGUAAAUAUCUCAGAUUUCCACAACAAUACCAUUCCAUUGUCUCUCAUUCUCUCACUUUUAUCACUUUUAGACUUCGGUUUAAAUCCUCCCUGUUUUUUUCCCUUUCAAUCUUUAUCUUUCACUUGCAAAUUCCUAGCUAAAGCUGCUGCUAACAAAUCAAUCUCCUUCAUCGUUCCGCUUCUCUUCCCGACCAUCAUACACAAACACGACCACACGCAGAAUUUUUGCAAUUUCUUCCUGCCAGCCUGGCACACGCUCUCUGAAACACUUCCCUAGAUCCACAAACACACUUGCUACCAGUUCAUUACAAAGCCUUCCCAAAAUCUUCCCCUGUCGGCACUAGGGUGCUCCUCUGGCUUCUGUUCCUGUACUUCAGUUCUAUUUACUCUUAUCUCCUCAAACAUGGAAAGCUCUUAGCAGAUUUUUAACCACUGUUUGGCAAUUUUCUCCAUUUGGUUGAUUAUCAUAAUCUCAACUACAAUCACCUUUUGACCCGGCAGUCCAGUUUCCCACUGUCCAUAGGGUUAAUUCCACAUUCAUUUAAUUGAUCUUUCUGGACAGACCAGCUCUCUCAAUAACAGGAUAACGUCAGCUCAGGAUGGAUUAUAACCCCUCCCAAUCAAAAUUAGAAAAUUAAAAAAUAACGAUGCACAUCGAUCCCCGUCUUCCCUUAACUUAAGAGUUCGAUUUCCUCACAUAAUCGAAUCCCCAGGUGCCAGGGGUGAUGGUGCAUCCAUGUAACACUGGAGGGCAUUCACAGGUACAUCCCCCCACCCACACUUCUUCCCCUACACACACAUACACACACACAUCUGCUGCUGGCUGCGCUGCAAAAUCACUUUAGCAAUCCCAGAGUAAAGCCCAACUUUACAACCUAUAAAGUCAUAAAAGUUUACAACUCAAAGUUACAAAGCAGGUAUGUUUAUUUCGACGUUGGGCGCAAGAGGGAUUGUUCCACCAUUCAUGCGCAACUUCUAACAAUAUGUGGUGUGUUUAAGUACAGUAAGGUGUUACAUAUUUAUAAUGACCCCAGGAACACCUCUACAUAUUCAUAACCUUUCCCGCUUCUUAUUAAAAUGAGUCUCAGAUACCCAUUUCCAUAGUCUCCUCCCUGACCCUCCCCUGUUGCGCCUGCGCACUGUCACUUGGUGAUUUUUAGGAGGGGUCUUUGAGGGUCUGUGGAUGAAGGCUCCUUCAGCUUCGUCACAGUGAACUUUGUACCUUUGGCUCAUUAUGUUGAAUUGACUGGAACCCAAGCUGCCAAGUCGACCAAAACAAGACUGGCGCCCCCUUUUGCUGUAAAUCUUGGUUGUCUUGUCUCCUCAAGUUUACAGUUAGGUGCAGUAAAACUUAUUUUGGCAUUCGAUUGGGUUCUGUUUUUCUUAACAUAAGUUUACAUAAAGCUCUAAACUAAGCACUUAUUGUGUGGCUAAGCCUUAAAGUGUUAGUUCAUUAGUAGGCACCCAUUAUAUGUUUAGUUAACCCUUAAAAUGUUAGUUCCCUCUAUCAGUGAUACAGAGAGCAGAGCGCGGGGUGUUGCAGAGACCAGCUCUGCAAGCACCUCAGUUAAAUUCCUCACAGCUGUAGCUAAAAUUCUCUCUCGAGGUUUCUAUACCUGUUUUUGAACUUCCUCUUUAUGGUGGUCAUAUUCCCAAUCAUCCUAUACAUACCAGUAAUUCAUUUGUCCAGGACAUCUCUUUUCUAGGUGAUUUUUAGUUACAAUUUGCCAGUCUUCUCAAUAUAAGGUCACUGCAGGCUUUUCUUGACAAUCAUCUUGCUGUUCCAUUAAUAUUUUCCCAAUUUUGCAAUGCCUCGGCCAAGGGCGUCCCCUUCUCUAUGCCGAGUUUUAUUUCCCAUCCCGUUGAGUCACGAGGUUCAGAAAGGACCGCCUUGCUUUCCAGACUCUUUCAGAGAGGAGUUUAGGUGCGGCUGGAUCCAGUCCUAGUCUCAGACUUGGUCAAUGGUUUAUGUCUAAAGGAUAUUUUCCCAUUCUCAAGAGAGACUUGAACCCCCUCUUGUGUGCACUUUACACUGAUCAGGCCACACACUUUGCACUCAUAAACAUGCUGCAGCAAGGGAGGAACACGAACCCACCCUGGUAUGGAGGAAGAUUUAAACUCCCUACAGUUUUUAUAUGUACCAAUUUAGAUCCUGGCACAGACAGUCGUCUUCGGAUCUGUAUUUUGGCCAGAAUACCUUCCGCUCUAUUAUGGGCUCUUUUGUCCAGAGAAAACACCAUGCUUUAUCAUUUUUUAUUCAUCCUUCCGUUUUUGUAUGUCACACGUUUCCCCAAUAGCUUAACACCCUCCCUAAAGUACUGUAUGGAGGAACGUAAUCAUUUUUCCUUCACAUUUCCCAUUCUGAGUCCCGAGGCUUCUCCUUCCGCCUCAUCUCCCCUCUCAGAUUGCCCCGACCACCAAGUCUACUUUCUUACCUUGCUCUGUGCACAGAGUUCCCUGGUCGCUUGUAUUGUGCCUACCACUUUUUCCUUUCCCCUUUCUCCUAUGGAUUGCAGGGAUCCGCCUUUUCCAAUACAGCCUCAGGAUUUCUGUUGGUCUCUCCUGGAGUCCCCACUGAUGAUCCACAGGACCGUUGAAAUCAAUGGGGCACCCCUUCCUGUCCUUCGGCGAUAGGGACCCCCGAGAUGACGAUGUCUCUCCCGGUCGAGCCCCCAGAUCUGUAGGAAAUAACGCUUUUGCAAAUAUGAUAGGCCCAGGCAGCAUUUUUAAUAACGAUUUUGCAAGGCUGGGUGUUCUACAUAAAGACAGACAGAGCUAAUAGGGCAAAAAGCUCCUGCUUAAAUUCCUCCAAAAUCCCAGCCGCAAUUUCCCUUCCCUGUUCCCCAUUGGUUGGUACUGCAGGGUUUACUGACUAUCCGGACGCUUGCCUCAAUUUGCAUACCAUACCCUUCCCCCUAAAUUAACUUGUAAAUACAGGCAUUAGUAUGUAUACAGGUAUCAGUAUAUAUUCCGGGAAGAGACUGUGUUUUACAUUAUGGAUUCCUGCUCCGAUGUCUCUCGGUCCUUCCCCCCUGCUGGGCUCAGGCGCCAGGAACUCAGUUCUGUAAAAACAACAGUUCUGCGUUAAACGUUCCCUACAAUUUUAUUCCUCUUCUUUUUACUUUUGUUGGUUUUGCAUUAUCUUAUGAUACAGUGUGGUAGGUGGCUUAAAGCUGGGACAACAUAAUUUCACAUUUUUCUCCAGGAGUUAUACAUUCAGCAUUGCUUCUUUCUUCUUGUUCUUUUAGCAGCAUCAUUUUAUCAGAGCACGGCAGUGGCCCUAAAGGCAUACCUUCCCAGUGGGGAGUAAAAUGGAAUGAAGUGUCAUCUUCCCACAGUUCCACCAAAGAUCCACUCAAGAAGCAUUUGAGAACGUAUGAGGACCAACUUCCCGUGACUCUACACACCUCCUCAUGUUCCUCGGAACUGCCGCGAACUCGCAAGUGGCGCCCGAACAGGGGCUCUCGAAGGAGCGGCUGAAGCAGAGGGGCACCGGGAAGCAGCGACCGGGGGGUCAAGAGCGACUGAACACUGCGUGCGUCGGUGUGUCGUCUCCGAGGACCUGAACUGAAUUUAGGAGUUCGCCGUCUGUGUGGGCUACAAGGCAAGGGCUGCAGGUGGUGCCAGGUUUACAAGGUACCAAGGAUUAUAGGGUAAGGUGCUUUUUUUUUGCCUAAGGGCAGGUAUCAGGACUUUUUUUUUUUGCCUAAGGGCAGGUAUCAGGAUUUCUUUUGCCUAAGGGCAGGUAUCAGUAUAUGGAUAAAGGAACUAUGGAUUUAGAAGUAGCCCAAGAUUUAUUACAGCGCUUUGUAGAAAAGCGGGGGUGGGGGGGGGCGGUGAGUGUAUCAAGCAUCUAGCUGGUCUAGUUGCAGUAGGUCGAGUGAAAGGUUGUUUUUCGAAUACUGAUUCGCUCUUUGAUGUGUCGGAAUGGAGAAAAUUAGGAGACAUACUAUGGGAUAUGGUUAUAGAUGAUGAUAAAUCAGCGAAGAGCGUCAAAAGACUAUUAACUUGGUGCAGAGGCAAUGGGUAUCCUGCUGACCUGUCAGGAGUUUUUCAAAUAGAGACUUGGAAAAAGAUGGGAACUGUGUUGUGGAAGGCAAUUAGUCACGGUGAAAAAUAUAUUCUCGGCCUUGUAACCAUCUGCAAACUGAUAAAUACUACAGUGAAGUAAUUAAAACCUGAAAAGACUGUUAGGAGCAUUAGUGACUCAAAACUUAAACUUGAACUUUGGGACAGUAUAGAGCAGAAAUUAUGGGAUAAAGUCAGCAAUGGAGAUAAAGAAGCUAAAUCAUUAGUAACUACAUGGAAGCUUGAACGGUCUGCUGCUGCCGGAAUAUUUGCAGCGUUGCAGCCUGAUAAGUAUCCUGAAAGUUGCUGUGAAGUUCACCCAGUUUGUGUCUGCGAUACCCUCCCUAUUCCAUCCCCUGCUGUGCUUUCAGCACCCCCGAUGGUUCAGCAGUCUGGGGCGGGGGGAGGAACAAUGCCGAACAGGUAGCCUCCUGUACCAUCAUCUAACCCUGGUGAGAACAGCAAGUCCAGAGGAUUGGUGUCAGACAACUUACUCAAAGAACCUGUGAAAGCUGAGAAUGCUAAAGUCGUAAACAAGUGUGUUAUCAGUCCUUUUACCAGUUUUACCAAUCUGCUUUUACUGCCUUUUAACCCUCUAACUUCCACGAGAGAACAGAAGAAGUCACUGGAUAAGAACUGGACAACAGAACUGUGUGACAGAUUAGAUCAGCCAACAGCAAGUCAAUCCGACAUUCGGCAAUGUGGUCAUGAUAAUCGUGAUGAGAAAGGGGGUGCUCCUGGGGACUCAGGGUAUAAAACUUGGAAGUUAAGGAAGCACAGGUGUUGAAAUUAGCAGUAGAGAAUGCUAAUGUUUGCUAUCAACAUGUUAUUUGCGAGUUUUACAGUACAUAUAAUGUGCUCCUGUUUAUUGCCUCUGAAAAUCAAGCAGCUUGUCAGGAAUGUGAGUUAAUUGUUUUACUGGUUGUUGAUAGAAUUGUUUCUUUGUGGUAUAAGUACAUCAUAAAACUUUCUCUCCACUUUUCCCGCUGACGCUGCAAGCAGCCCUGUGCUUUUCCAUGGGGUCAGAAAUGACUGUUUUCAGUCGUGUUCAUAAAAAAUCGGUAUUGGGAGGUGUUUCAAAACAUAGGGAAGAACUUGGAAAUAUGAGGAAAGAAGAUCUUGUAAAAUAUUGUAAUUAAUGGUGGCUGCUGUAUAAGUUAAAUGAUUGGGAAAAGUGUCCGGUGAAUAGAAUCUUGAAGUAUAACACCUUGUUGCAAUUAAUGUUGUUUUUAGGGCGAGAAGAGUAGGACAAAAUAAAUCCUUACCAGAGAUCAUUAAAUCAUUUCAGACAGCUGAGAGAGAGUUAACUGAUAACAUGCAGGUCACAGUAAACUUGCCGAAGUCUGCACAAUGUUUUCCUUAUUAGCCUGUUUUCUUUGUGGGUAUCUGUUUAAGCACUUGCAAUUUUGGUAGGUCUUUGCUAUAUGGUAUGAUAAGUUCACAGACUGUUAAAGCAUGAGAAUCAGUUGACUCAAAAGGUGCGUUUUGUGAUAGUACAAAAGAUCAUGAGUAAUUUAGUUCCUUACUGCGUGAACCUGAUGUUAAGAUUUUAUGUGUAGUAGCUGUUAUAGUUUUUUCUAGCGUACCAGCUUUAUUCCAAUAUCCAGACUUGCGCAGAUCUGUGACAGACUGUCUCUCAUCUCGGUGCACUAAAUUUGGCCUUUUUGUAUGCACAUCAAGUAAAGAACCCUGGUUUUAGAAUAACAGUUGUUGCGCACCAGAUGAGACACUAAAAAAAGCCUUGCCCAGUCCAGCUCGCUGCAGCGGUGGGGGGGCAGGUGUCGGUUGGGCUCCAGCGCACACUGGCCUAUUUUGUCAGGGAGACCCAGCGGCACCGCUACCUGGCUGAGCAGUAAGAGGUUCAAAGGUGCAAUGCAAAAAUUGAGAUAUUGUCUUGAAUAAGUGUGUGAUCCAUCUGCAUAUUGGAACUUGGUAUAUGGUUUUCACAUCUGAGCUCAGUAUUUUAGUUUGCAUAUUCAUAUUUGGUACCAAAAGAAUCUUGUUUGGGGAGAUAGUUACAAAAUGGGAACCGGUUCCACUGCCAAAAUUCCACCUUGCUCCCCCUUAGGAUGAAUCCUUACACAUUAGAGUAAUCGCUUAUACUGUUAGAAAAGCAUUUGAAUUCUUAAAAUACUAUGAUAGAUGUGAACUGGGGGUAUUGUAUGAAGUUAUGAAGUUGUAUUUAAAGGUUGCUGGAAUGUGAACUGAUUUGGAUCUAGGACAAUAGAAUAAUGGAUUUAUGUUUAUCAUACUGGUUUUUGACAUCUGUAAAUUGUAAAAGGUAAAUGGAGCUAAGGAAUGUAACUAUUGAUGAGCUACUGAGUGUAUUAUGGUUGGAAUGAAAUGGGAAAACAAAAGAGCAAAAUAUCCCAGGCCUCUGUGUAGGUUGUAACUGAGAAGUUUCCCAGAGCCUCCCACUUCGUACCAGCCACUAUGCCAGCUGCGUGACCUUGGUUAUAUCUAAACUGCAGCAAGAAAGGAAAAGCCUAGCUGCCCGUUUUUAAAGCAGUGACAGGGGGGUUCUCUCCCCCCCCCACUGCAGCGAUGUAAUACUGAAUAGAACAGUCUGAGGGUGAAGUUUAAAGGCAUCCUGAGCAGACCUGUAGUUCUAAUGAAACUGGAAAAAUAAACCAAAAAUUUGUUAAUAGACUUAUUCUAUGGUAAUUAGUUGUAAGAGACUUCUUAGUAAAUUCACCAUGCUAGUUUUUGAGGUCAUGGGACACAACGAAAGAAAGGCCGUUUUUUGAGACCAAUGGAAUGCCAGAUUUGGAACAAAGUUCCAAACAUAAAUUCUUGUAUUUGCCCAAAAGUCCUAUACCUCUCUUGAGUCAGGAUUUGUUAAGUAAAUUAUAAGCUCAAAUAACGUUUUCUGAGAAUUCUGUUUAGUUGCAUGUCUUACAAGAAGCUGCUUGGAUGGUUCAGAUCUGCUUGUGCAAGUGAGAAAUCUCCAAGGAAAUUUUGAAUGCUGUGUUUCCACUAGUAUUAACAGUAAAUGUUUCGAUAAAGCAAAUACUACACUGAGAAAUCUGAGACAGGACUCCGAUCCGGUAAGGGAAAACAAUAUCCAAUAAAUAUGACAGCCAAAAUGGAGUUGGAAACAUUGAGGAAUAAAUUUAUGACAACUUUACAGGCUGUCUGCAUUCGAUUGGACUUGCAGAUUUGUCUAUGAAACAAUCUGUGGCCAUUGUGGGACAGUAUGGUGAGAAUGCUAACAGACUGAUAUACCAAUUGUUACUCUAAUCAAGAAAAUGCAGGGAAUGAAUUUAAGUCUUAAUAGGCCAUGAUCCUUUUGUCAUAUAUGUACCAUUUGUGAAAUUGAAUUCUGAUUUUUUUUAUUUGUAAUCUAUGUCUUUGUAAAUAGCACUAGCUGGUUUUUUUAACAGCACAGCUUUUGGCAUGCCUAAAUGUAAAUUGCUGCAGAACCUGCAAGUCUUUAACAUCAGGCCAUAGGCCAUACUUGUAUCUGGUCUGAUCCUACAUACUUGCACAGUUUUGGUGGUGGUUCUGGGCAGUCUCAUAAAGCUGUAGUGGUUUGGUGUGGAGAUAACGAUUGGCAUCAUUCUGUAAAAAUUAUUGAAGGUUCAACCUAAUGAGCAGAACUUGGCUCAGCUUUAAAUUACUUAGAGCUUUUUAAGGAGGAACCUCUAAAGUUGAUUUGUGACUUCGAGUACGUAGUCAAGAUCUGACACACGUAUCUGGUUCCGAAACUUUGUUUGUUUGUUUGUUUUAAAAAAGAAGGGGGGAAGUAGGGGAAACACCACAAAACCAAUUGUCAAAAGCAUUGUAUGUGAUGAAAUACUUUGCAAAUAUGAUCCAAAACCAUGCUAAAUCAGAAAGAACCUACAUUAGUUAUGGUCAAAUCACUAGUCAAUGGAAAAGGCCUCAUCAAUUGAUAACCUGGGGAAAAGGUUAUGUUUGUGUCAUUACAGGCCAGGCUGAGGAUUGAAGUGGAUUCAACAAAGAUUCAACGGAUGUAGAUGGACAGGAGGGAGAUAAGUUGUGAGGGCUGUUUCAGAUGUAAACCAUGGAUCCUAAUUCAGUGUUAUCGAUGCUCACAGACCUGGUGGUCUAGAAGCCUAUUAGCAAGCAGGUGGUGUACCUUCUGUGGAGAAUGGCAAUUUGAACAAUCAGCAGGAGAUCCAAAAGGGUGAUAUUAUGAUCAGAUAGUCAAUGCAUAGAUAAGGUAAAAUGAUGAGAUGUCUCCACCAUAGUAAUCUAAGUUUAGCAACUGAUAAAGUUUUAGAAGGGAUAUUAAGGUUAAGCUAUUGAUCUUUUAAAUAGGUUAAGAUAACUUUUAAGAUAUUAAUUCAGUUAUUGGUAUAUACUGAUGGUAUUAAGUAUGUUACCCUAUAAACUGCGCAGUUAUAAAUGUUUUAGGAAUUUAAGAGAAUAUAUUGUAUUCACUUGUCUGGUUAUGUUGAAUCUAUUAAAAUAGUGUGUUAAUAAGGUUGUCAUAGUAGAAUUAAGGUUUUAAGAAUAGGCAGGUAGUAGUUUGAUCUUAUUAAGUAAGGUUUAACUGCAGUAGAUGUAAUUGUAAUUAUGUUGUUAAUCACAUGUUCUAUGUUGCAGUAUAUUUCAAAAAUGAUGCACCGUGCGGUUUAAGGGGCCUGACUAAUUCAGGAAAAGAAAGGGGGAAGUGUGGAGGGGUUUUGAUAGAUAAAGAUUUGUUGCUGAAUUAGUCAGGCUCAAAGGAAUCUCAAGGCCGCUUCGAGGAGUUGAGAACAGAAUCUGCUGUGAGAAAGAGGGGCGUUCCACAAUCACCGGGGUCCUGGCGUGGCGUGAAUCAUCAGAUAUAUCAUCAGUGAGACUACAGCGCAUGGACAGCCCAUGAUCCUCAUUUAGCGAAUCCAUGCUUGGAGCGUGGUCGCGUGAUUAGAAUAUAGUUACGUAUAUAAGGAGACUUGUUACUGUAAUAAAUGGCUUUAGCGUGAUUCACAUUGAA